UACGUAGGGGGCAAGCGUUGUCCGGAAUCAUUGGACGUAAAGAGCGUGUAGGCGGCCCGAUAAGUCCGCUGUGAAAGUCCAGGGCUCAACCCUGGGAUGCCGGUGGAUACUGUCGGGCUCGAGUCCGGAAGAGGAGUGUGGAAUUCCUGGUGUAGCGGUGAAAUGCGCAGAUAUCAGGAGGAACACCAAUGGCGAAGGCAGCACUCUGGGACGUGACUGACGCUGAGACGCGAAAGCGUGGGAGCAAACAGG
rnacentral:rRNA from 1 species